rnacentral:rRNA from 1 species
AUGCCGUUGGAGUGCAUCCCACCGUCGCAUGCGUACAGCGCUCGGUGGUCGCCGGCGCCGUCCUCUGCUCUUCCUCCAUGGUGGACGCGAAGGGAAGUCGACGGAUCUGGCGCUAGCUCUUUGAAUAAGUGCACGACUGCCUCAGAUCGAGUCGAUCCUAUGUCCUCCAUGUCUUCUUCGUGCCGUCUCGGUGGCGGCAGUGGAACCUGCGGGAGAACACGGCGGGGCUCGAAUCCUGGGGGCAUGUUCUCGCUGGAUCCUACUCCCUCCCGAGGUAGUCCUGGUCGGAUCUACAAAGGGAUCUCCAGCAAGUUGCUGUCUACAGCAUCCAUCAUGGUGAUGGAGAAGUGGCAGCGCUCACAAGGGAAGAUGGGCACUGUGGAUGGGGUCCGUGAGCACACACGGCGGUGGAUUUCGAGAGGCUGUGGCGCCCUUCUUGGCUGCUGCCCGGUCUCUGACGACCCGCCGUAUCGUCAGGCGACCCGCCGUAUCGUCAGGUCGAAGGGCGGCCAUAUUCAUUCCUCCCGACCAAGAUGCCAAAGGGGAGGCAGUCCUGCUUCACGGUGGAGUCUAUGGCGUGGAGUCAUGGAGGUCUCGUUGGCCCAAGUGGUGCCGUCCCCGGCGCCGGCGAGGCUGAAUCCAUCGGGGUGCAGAUAG